AGAAAAUGUGUUUUGUCAUGCUUGACAUUUUGCUAUUCGAGCAGAAGAGCGUGUAAUUUCUUAUUUUUCACUGUCGCUCGUUGUGUCUGUGUUGUGUGUGUAAAAAACGUUAGUGAGUGUUUGUGUUUGUGCAGCUGUGACCCUGUUGCGGAAUGAGACCUGCAGCGCGAACCGUGCCUGAUUUAGAUUUUCAUGUACUGAAAGACGACGAGGUUGUUUGGACCUUUCAGGAGUUUGUUGCUUUGUUUUUUUAGUGUUGUAACUCGUGAACGACGAGGAAGAGAAACUAAUUUUGGAAUUUUGGAACGUCUGGUUCGAGUCCUUUUCUCUAGCUCAUCGAAUGUCCUGCGUCACUCUGAUCGAAACGAAAUCCGGUUAGUAGCUAUCCAUCUGACCAUAACAACCCCACUUAACCAGUGCGGCAAUGGUGUAGGCGAAGGGAGCAUUACAUAAAGCCAAGGCAAGCUGCGACCUUGAACGUGCAGAGCAAGUUAUUUUUAGGCUAUGACGACUCCCCGCACCCGUGCAUGUUGGGGCAUGCAGCUAGGUCGCCGCUAUAUAAGUGGGGAGGAUGUGUAAAGAGGCAGCAGUCUUCGCAUCGCUUCGGGAGUGUGCGGGGCUCACUUCAAAAUGCCCAGAUGCGUGUUCUGCUUUUUUGAUCCUCAUGAUAUCGGGGAUGCUGAGCCAUUGGAAGAGAAUUCGCCAUCUUCUCCAGACAUUUCACCUGGCACAUUGCAUGCUCACGUCGAGCGAUCACAUCCCUAUGUGGACAUUUCCUUCCUGCCUUUCUUUCAAACUGAUAGCGCGUUUCAAGGUAUCGUCAAAGCGUUUGUGCUAUUGGCAUCUGUUCACGAUCAGGGAGUAGAGGAUUUGCGACAGUAUUUAAUGAACCACCUCCACAAUAUAAUUGCUAUUUUGCGAGCGCAAAGAAUACCCUUUAGGUUUUGCAUUUGUUCUGACGUUCUAAUGAUGAAAGAAAAUCGAGGGGAUAUAACCGCACACAUAGCUCAUUUUAUGGCGCUUGCUCGCGAAGUCCACAGCGACGGAGCUAUCGCAAAUACUUUGAUGGACGUGAUUCAGGAGUCCACCGGGCGCAUUGAAAAUUACCAGCGCGAGGGUAGUGGGUUUGUAUCCACUGACGUCCAAAAAGUUCAAAUGUGUAUUUCCGCUGUGAAAACUAAAAAAUUCGGGUGCAAUGGGGUACUUCCCACUAAUUUGGCUUGUCGUAGGAAUGUCCUAACGAAUGUCCCUUUACCAGAGCGUAAGGAGGGCGGGUGCUUUAAAUACAAUACGCUCGCCCUCUUGCACCCACAGGAAAGGAACCGAUGGAAAAAAUAUUAAAAUUAUGCAACAGAGUACUGGUGGCCUACUCGCUUCCCUGUUUCAUUCGCUGACCUGGACGAGUUCGAAGAGAAAAAUAGGAUAUCUCUGUACGUGUACGCGUACGGCGCUCAGGGAGUAGACCUGUCACGACCCCCAAAACUGGAAAGCGAAAAGAAAAUUCAUUUAGUGGAAGUUGAUGAGCAUUUUUUCGGAAUUAAGUCCCUCGAGCGUUUGUUGACGAGAAAGAACACGCGUUUCGUAUGCGAACGUUGCACUCUCUCUUUUAAUGAGGAAAAGAGCAUGGCGAAACAUCGACGCCUUUGCGCGGACGUGAACGAAAUCCUAUUAGAAUUUUGUGAACCCGGAGAAAAUUUUGUAGAGUUUACUAAAAUACAGUACAUGCAACAGUACAACUACGUUGUCGCGCUGGACACUGAGAGCGUACUUGCGCCCAGUGGUGAUGGCAUGCAGCGUCACAUCACCUCUAACUUUUGUGCCGUGCUCAUGCGUACCCACGACUCAAGGGUGUUGCGCAUCAGGACGCACCGUGGGGAAGAUGCUGCGAGGCAGUGCGUGAAAGCUCGCUUCUCGGCCUUUUGGUUAAGAUCAAGAGGCCUUCACGAAAGCAAGACAAGAAAAGGAGGAGGAGUACCAGGUGGUGAAGGAACAUCUGAGGCAACGAUUCCAGAGAGUCAGGGUGGAAGCUAUCAUCCUCGGAAGCUUGGGAAGCUGGGACCUGUAAAACGACUGCGCCCUUGCCCCCAUCUGCUCGAAGACAUAUCUUCGCCUUAUGAAGAAACUGUGCGUGAGCGAUACCAUCGCAGCAACAAGGGACAUUUACUUCACACCUGUCACUGGAAAUACCCCUCAGUAGAACACCUUUGUAAACGUAUGUUUUGUCCUGUGUAUAUAUACCCACCGUUUUUCCUUUUCCCCCCUUUUUAAACAAUUAAUAUGUAUGUACCAUUUCAUUACCCUCCCCCAUGUAUACUUAUAAUGUCUGAACUGCAGCGAAUAAACAAAUUCUGUUUUUAUCA